rnacentral:rRNA from 1 species
AUUGAACGCUGGCGGCAGGCCUAACACAUGCAAGUCGAGCGGAUGAAGGGAGCUUGCUCCUGGAUUCAGCGGCGGACGGGUGUGUAAUGCCUAGGAAUCUGCCUGGUAGUGGGGGAUAACGUCCGGAAACGGGCGCUAAUACCGCAUACGUCCUGAGGGAGAAAGUGGGGGAUCUUCGGACCUCACGCUAUCAGAUGAGCCUAGGUUGGAUUAGCUAGUUGGUGGGGUAAAGGCCUACCAAGGCGACGAUCCGUAACUGGUCUGAGAGGAUGAUCAGUCACACUGGAACUGAGACACGGUCCAGACUCCUACGGGAGGCAGCAGUGGGGAAUAUUGGACAAUGGGCGAAAGCCUGAUCCAGCCAUGCCGCGUGUGUGAAGAAGGUCUUCGGAUUGUAAAGCACUUUAAGUUGGGAGGAAGGGCAGUAAGUUAAUACCUUGCUGUUUUGACGUUACCAACAGAAUAAGCACCGGCUAACUUCGUG